AUGUGCUGUGAGCUCGAUGAGUAGGGCGGGACACGUGGUAUCCUGUCUGAAUAUGGGGGGACCAUCCUCCAAGGCUAAAUACUCCUGACUGACCGAUAGUGAACCAGUACCGUGAGGGAAAGGCGAAAAGAACCCCGGCGAGGGGAGUGAAAAAGAACCUGAAACCGUGUACGUACAAGCAGUGGGAGCACAGGUUUACCUGUGUGACUGCGUACCUUUUGUAUAAUGGGUCAGCGACUUAUAUUCUGUAGCAAGGUUAACCGAAUAGGGGAGCCGGAGGGAAACCGAGUCUUAAUUGGGCGUUAAGUUGCAGGGUAUAGACCCGAAACCCGGUGAUCUAGCCAUGGGCAGGUUGAAGGUUGGGUAACACUAACUGGAGGACCGAACCGACUAAUGUUGAAAAAUUAGCGGAUGACCUGUGGCUGGGGGUGAAAGGCCAAUCAAACCGGGAGAUAGCUGGUUCUCCCCGAAAGCUAUUUAGGUAGCGCCUCGUGAAUUCAUCUCCGGGGGUAGAGCACUGUUUCGGCUAGGGGGCCAUCCCGGCUUACCAACCCGAUGCAAACUGCGAA
rnacentral:rRNA from 1 species